GACAGAGGGUGCAAACGUUGUUCGGAAUUACUGGGCGUAAAGCGUGUGUAGGCGGCUACGCAAGUCGGAUGUGAAAGCCCCGGGCUCAACCCGGGAAGUGCACCCGAAACUGCGUGGCUCGAGUACCGGAGAGGUUGGUGGAAUUCUCGGUGUAGAGGUGAAAUUCGUAGAUAUCGAGAGAAACACCGGUGGCGAAGGCGGCCAACUGGACGAGUACUGACGCUGAGACACGAAAGCGUGGGGAGCAAACAGG
rnacentral:rRNA from 1 species